rnacentral:rRNA from 1 species
AAGCCUUCGGGUGGAUUAGUGGCGAACGGGUGAGUAACACGUGGGCAAUCUGCCCUGCACUCUGGGACAAGCCCUGGAAACGGGGUCUAAUACCGGAUAAUACUGUGCCCCUCAUGGGGGAUGGUUAAAAGCUCCGGCGGUGCAGGAUGAGCCCGCGGCCUAUCAGCUUGUUGGUGGGGUAAUGGCCUACCAAGGCGACGACGGGUAGCCGGCCUGAGAGGGCGACCGGCCACACUGGGACUGAGACACGGCCCAGACUCCUACGGGAGGCAGCAGUGGGGAAUAUUGCACAAUGGGCGAAAGCCUGAUGCAGCGACGCCGCGUGAGGGAUGACGGCCUUCGGGUUGUAAACCUCUUUCAGCAGGGAAGAAGCGAAAGUGACGGUACCUGCAGAAGAAGCGCCGGCUAACUACGUGCCAGCAGCCGCGGUAAUACGUAGGGCGCAAGCGUUGUCCGGAAUUAUUGGGCGUAAAGAGCUCGUAGGCGGUUUGUCACGUCGGGUGUGAAAGCCCGGGGCUUAACCCCGGGUCUGCAUUCGAUACGGGCAGACUAGAGUGUGGUAGGGGAGAUCGGAAUUCCUGGUGUAGCGGUGAAAUGCGCAGAUAUCAGGAGGAACACCGGUGGCGAAGGCGGAUCUCUGGGCCAUUACUGACGCUGAGGAGCGAAAGCGUGGGGAGCGAACAGGAUUAGAUACCCUGGUAGUCCACGCCGUAAACGU